AGGGCCACGACCCACAGAGGGGAUGAAAGCAAGGUGCAGAUGCAUUACAUCUGUGGCAGAGGGUUACGGUUACAAGGUGCCAGGCCUUCUUAGGAGAAUGCUGUCUAAGAGACAACAGCCCGGUGCCAGCAGG